AGAUGAGGAAACUGAGACCCAGAAAGUCAGAGGCAGAGCCCACAUCAAAAGCCAAGGUCUCUGGCCAUCUGCUUGGGAGCAGCUGCCAAUAACCUACCUUCUGUGGCCAAGGCCUCCGCAUUUCCCCCAGGGCUGGUAGCCGGCUCAGCAAGUGACUUGAGGGCAUGGCAGGCCGUGAUGAUGUCCUGCAUUUGGAGGAAAGUGGCCACGGCCAGCACAUCAUCCACGUUCUCAGGGCUCAGGCUCAGCUUGGCCGUGUACAUAAACUCCAGCACCUGCCCCAGGCCUACCAAGGACAGGACAGCUGUCACAGACCCACCUCAAGAUCCGGCACCGGCAGCCUGCCCCACCACUCCACUCAGCAGCAGGACGCAGGGAUUUAGGAACAGCUGAGUGGCAAGCCUGCAUCGCCCCAUCUCCUCUGUGGAGAGGAGGCAGGUAACCUGGGGGAUCUCAGCACUACCAACAGCCCUUGAAAAGAAGUGCUCGCUGAGGGUCUGAAUGCCUGCCCUGCACAGAGAACAAAAGGUGUGAACGCCCACCCUGCACAGAGGACAGGAGGUGUGAAUGCCCACACUGCACAGGGAACAGAAGGUGCAACUGUCCGCCCUGCAUGGAGGAGGAUGGGCUGUGAAUGCCGCCCAUGCAUGGAGAAAAGGAGGUGUGAAUAUGCACCCUGCACAGAGGACGGGGGUAUAAAUGCCCAUCCUGCAGGGAGGACAGAGUGUGAAUGCCUGCCCUGGAUGAGGACAGAGGUGUGAAUGCCCACCCUGCAUUGAGGACGGAUGUUGUGAACACCUGCCCUCCACACCCUCUUAUUUGGCCGCUACACUUCACCAGUGGAGGACACUCCAACCUGACUUUCAUCAGGGCUCUGCUACCAACUCUCUAUCUGACUGACCUCCAGGCCAGUCACUGACCUCUUUGGGUCUCAGUUUCCACAUCUA
rnacentral:lncRNA from 1 species